UAUGUAUGUCUCUGUAUGUAUGUAUGUAUGUCUCUGUAUUUAUGUCUGUAUGUCUCUGUCUGAAUGUAUGUCUCUGUAUGUAUGUCUCUGUAUGUAUGUAUGUAUGUCUCUGUAUGUGUGUAUGUCUCUGUAUGUAUGUCAGUAUGUCUCUGUUUGUAUGUAUGUUUGUCUCUGUAUGUCUCUGUAUGUAUGUCUCUGUAUGUAUGUCUCUGUAUGUAUGUAUGUCUCUG